rnacentral:lncRNA from 1 species
GAGCUAUGUAAUUUGUUUUUUAUUAAUUUCUAAAACCCUCUCCCGACAUCCUUCCGACACAUCCGAUGUGACAUCUAAAAAAUUCUCAUUUCCAAUCUAAACAGGCCCUCAGUGCUGCCUAUGACGUACAGGCCCCGCCAGGUUGGUGGACGGCUGCCCGGGCUCUGCCAGUGGUUUGAAUGCAGGAGUUCGGUGGAAAUAUAAAGGCCAGUGUCGGUAGAGCGUUGAGCGAACGGGCUCUACGUGUCGUCUCGAGACUGCCGCGUAGAAUGAAAUAAGGUUCGGCUAGCUUUGAGUUUUUUUUCCAAAGAGUAAUUUUUUUUUUAAAUUGGGGACCGGGAACUAAACGGAGCUAAAAAAAAAUUUUGAGAUAAAAAUUUUAGGCCCUGUUUAGUUUCCCACCUAAAAAUUUUUCAUCCAUCUCAUCGAAUCUUUAGACACAUGCAUGGAACAUUAAAUUUAGAUAAAAAAUAAACUAAUUACACAGUUUAGUUGAGAAUCGCGAGACGAAUCUUUUAAGCCUAGUUACUCCAUGAUUAGCCUUAAGUGCUACAGUAACCUAAAUAUGCUAAUGGCAGAUUAAUUAUGCUUAAUAAAUUUGUCUUGCAGUUUCUUGACGAACUACGUAAUUUGUUUUUUUAUUAGUUUCUGAAAAACCCCUCCCGACAUCCUUCCGACAUAUCCGAUGUG